ACAGGUGCUGCAUGGCUGUCGUCAGCUCGUGUCGUGAGAUGUUCGUUAGUCCGCUAACGAGCGCAACCCUCGCUGUGUGUUAUAUGUGUCACACGGGACUGCCGGUCUUAAGCCGGAGGAAGUGGGGAUGAUGUCAAGUCAGCAUGGCCUUUAUAUCCAGGGCUACACACACGCUACAAUGGUCGGUACAAUAGGUUGCCAAGCCGCGAGGCGGAGCCAAUCCAAAAAAGCCGGCCUCAGUUCAGAUUGUAGGCUGCAACUCGCCUGCAUGAAGAUGGAGUUGCUAGUAACCGCAGGUCAGCAAUACUGCGGUGAAUACGUUCCCGGGUCUU
rnacentral:rRNA from 1 species